UUGGGAUUUUAUCUCAACUUGGAAGCUGAGCAAGGUCAGGCCUGAUUAGUACUUGAGUGGAAGACCGCCUGGGAACACGAGCUGUAGGCUUAAA
ensembl:rRNA 5S_rRNA 5S ribosomal RNA